UUUGUUUAUAUAUUGAUAAUGACAGUAUAUAUAUCGUGUCUUGACUAAUUGCGUGCCAGCAGUCGCGGUAAUACGUAAGAGACUAGUGUUAUUCAUCUUAAUUAGGUUUAAAGGGUACCCAGACGGUCAAUAUAGCUUAUAAAAUGUUAGUACUUGACUAGAGUUUUAUGUAAGAGGGCAGUACUUGAGGAGGAGAGAUGAAAUUUCGUGAUACCAAAGGGACUCUGUAAAGGCGAAGGCAGCCCUCUAUGUAAAAACUGACGUUGAAGGACGAAGGCACAGAGAACAAACAGGAUUAGAUACCCAAGUAGUCUUUGCAGUAAAUGAUGAAUGCCAUAGGUUAGAUUAAUCAAAUAUAGUCUAGGGUUAGUCUAGCAAACUAAUGACCUAUACUAUAAUGAAAAAUAUCUGGUCUAUAAAUGAAAGUGUAAGCAUUUCACCUCAAGAGUAAUGUGGCAACGCAGGAACUGAAAUCACUAGACCGUUUCUGACACCAG
rnacentral:rRNA from 1 species